GUGGGGAAUAUUGGGCAAUGGGCGAAAGCCUGACCCAGCCACGCCGCGUGAGUGAUGAAGGCCUUCGGGUUGUAAAGCUCUGUGGGGAGGGAAGAAAAAGCGCAGGAGUAACUGCCUGUGUGUUGACGGUACCUCCUUAGCAAGCACCGGCUAACUUCGUGCCAGCAGCCGCGGUAAUACGAAGGGUGCAAGCGUUAUCCGGAUUCAUUGGGUUUAAAGGGUGCGUAGGCGGAGCGUUAAGUCAGUGGUGAAAUCCUGCAGCUUAACUGUAGACUUGCCAUUGAUACUGGCGCUCUUGAGUGCGCUUGAAGUGGGCGGAAUGUGCCGUGUAGCGGUGAAAUGCUUAGAUAUGGCACAGAACACCAAUUGCGAAGGCAGCUCACUAAGGCGAUACUGACGCUGAGGCACGAAAGCGUGGGGAUCGAACAGGAUUAGAAACCCCAGUAGUCC
rnacentral:rRNA from 1 species